UUUGCGGUGGUUAUAGCGUCAGGGAAACGCCCGGAUCACCAUUCCGAACCCGGAAGCUAAGCCUGACAGCGCUGAUGGUACUGCACCCGAGAGAGUGUGGGAGAGUAAGACACCGCCGCAAA
rnacentral:rRNA from 1 species